rnacentral:lncRNA from 1 species
CCUCUUCUCCUUUUCACGUGUUUAGGAGAUAACCCUUGCAAGCACUCACACUCUUCUUACAGAAUUCUAAACUUUAAGUGAAGGAGGGAAUUUCUAAAGAGAUUGCAGCAGUAUUUUCUCUACUUUUAAACUCUCUAUGCUUGUCUGCUUUAACCAGGGAUGAGAGGGGUAUUUAUAGGCUUCAAGUUGAUUCAAACUUAGAGCCUAAAACUUUCCCGUCCCGGGUAUCCCGGGCACGGGCAGUACCAUCGCCUACGCUGGGCGGUUCCACUGCCCAGUGUUAGUCUGACACUGACACUACCCUGGGCGGUAUCACCGCCCAAGUCUGGCAGUACCACCACUUCGAGUGUAGUGCUGGGCGGU